rnacentral:rRNA from 1 species
AGGGUUUGAUCAUGGCUCAGAUUGAACGCUGGUGGUAUGCUUAACACAUGCAAGUCGAACGAUCUAAACGCCAUAUUGUUAUUUUUGAUUUAUUUUAGAUAACAACAUGGCGUUUAGAUAGUGGCGGACGGGUGAGUAACGCGUAGGAAUCUGCCAUACAGAGGGGGACAACAGUUGGAAACGACUGCUAAUACCGCAUAAUACCUUUGGGUCAAAGGUUGGGUAAUUAUUAUCCAGUCGCUGUAUGAUGAGCCUGCGUUGGAUUAGCUAGUUGGUCAGGUAAAGGCUGACCAAGGCAAUGAUCCAUAGCUGUUCUGAGAGGAAGAUCAGCCACACUGGGACUGAGACACGGCCCAGACUCCUACGGGAGGCAGCAGUGGGGAAUAUUGGACAAUGGGGGAAACCCUGAUCCAGCAAUACCACGUGUGUGAAGAAGGCCUUAGGGUUGUAAAGCACUUUAGUUAGGGAGGAAGGCAAUUAGGUUAAGAGCUAAAUUGUUUGACGUUACCUAAAGAAUAAGCACCGGCUAACUCCGUGCCAGCCGCCGCGGUAAUAC